UUAUAUUCUAUGGCCACGUGCAUUGGUGCGGUUAUCAGAUCAGGCCGACAGGAAGGGAAAGAAGGUAGCUUCACCUCAGGGAGGCCGACGUGCCCAAGUAAAUGUUUCUACGGCAAAGUCUCCACUCAUUACGGAUAUGGAGGUGGUGCAAGGCCUUACUCAACCGUGCUUCUGGCUACAUGAGUGCGUUAGCGAUGCAGACGAUGAAGCAAUGAUUGAGAUUAAGUUGUCGGACCACCAAUUCCACUACAUUGAGGAAACAUCGACCUUUAUUUCUAAGGCUAUUAUACAAUGAUUUGAGGCGAUCUAGUCAGCCAAUGUUUGGUUGGUUAUGUCCAAGCUUUGUACGAGA